CGAUCUCUGACCGUUGGCUUAUUCUAUUUUUUUAUUUAUUUGUUACAUAAAGGUUUUUUGUUAGGGUUUGAAUUGGUAGAUAGGAUUCGUCUUUUUGCGUUGAUUUCGAUUUCGACUCCUUUUUUAUCAUGGAGCCUCGCGUCGGUAAUAAGUUCCGGCUCUGCCGGAAGAUCGGUAGCGGCUCAUUUGGAGAGAUCUAUCUCGGUACUAAUAUCCAGACGAAUGAAGAAGUUGCUAUUAAGCUCGAUGAUCCUCGAAACGGAUGGCAAUGCUAUUGCUGAAAAAGUGGCAACCCACAGCGUGGAUGACGGUGCACCCUUGUCUGAGCAGACUAUAAGUCAAGCUUUGGCUAAAUGAAGCAUCUGGGAGGGUAACUAGAGAAAACAAAUUGGCCUUCAUUCUUUGAGUAAAUUCACAAAUAAGACAGCAAUUUGGAAGCUGUUUCGUUGAUACUCGGACAGUGAAACAUCACGGCAGUCAGCUGCUUAUUGUUAGCAUCUUUACAUUCCCAAGUCAAUAAGUAAUUCGGCAAGUCGGAUAAAUUGCUUUCUGGGUGAACGAAUAAUCUCACCUUUAUGCUCUUACAAGGUGCACUUAUAUUUUGUGGUUGAUUUCCCAGUUGAGCUAUAUAAACCUCUCUUUUCUACUGU